UCCAAACAUGCUAUUAAUCACAUAGAUUUUAACAUCCUUUCAUCAGCGUUAACAUCACCUUCCUUUAUUUGGCUCCAUCACCAACUAGCUCCUCAGCUCCAUUGUCGAGAAGAUGUACCAAAAAAACUACAAACCAAGGCUGAAGGAAUGUGAACACAUAAUCGUAUGCAACCCUGAGUUUGAGGGUGGUAGGGCUCAUGAUGUCGAUGGCAUUCAAAUCAAACCUAAUUCUAGGCAUAUAUGGAUUGAUCGAUGCACCCUUCGUGAUUAGGAUGAUGGCCUCAUAGACAUUACAAGACAAAGCACCGAUAUCACUGUAUCUAGGUGUUGCUUUGGGCAGCAUGACAAGACCAUGCUCAUUGGACCUGACCCAACUCACACAUAGUCACAUUGGUGAUAGAUGCAUCCGGGUGACCAUUCACCAUUGUUUCUUUGAUGGAACAAGGCAACGACAACCUUGCGUGAGAUUUGGAAAAGUUCAUCUGUACAACAAUUACACCAGAAACUGGGGGAUAUAUGCUGUCUGUGCUAGUGUGGAAUCUCAGGCGGCAGAUAAGGAAGAGCAGAAUUCUGGCUUCAUAAUAUCAGGAGACAUGUUUCUGAAUGGUGCUGAGCCAUGCUUGCUAACAGAAAACAGAGAAAUGUCAUGUUUCAUCCCAGCGAAUAUUACCAAACAUGGACUAUGGAAGUAGCUGCACAUUCUCUCAGAGAGGUCCUCAAGUUAUGUACAGGUUGGCAAUCCAUUUGUAGACCAGUAGAUCAUAUGGUCCCUCAAUAAGGUUCAUUGCAUUGCAGGACUACACCUUCUGGUUUAUGUGGGAACCAUUGACAUUACAUCAAGCACAUUUAAGAAACUUUGUCCGCUAUUUUAAUUCGAGUUGCACUAGCAGCAUAUUCAUUGUAUUCUGUAAACAUAGUCAAUUUUUUGGUUCUGACACUUUUCCAUUUUCGUAUUUAUAUCUGUCCCCAAUCAUAAUUUCCAUUGUCAGAGGUUAUUCAAGUUUGAAA